ACCUGGCUGGCUCAGUUGGUGGAGCAUGUGACUCUCGAUCUUGGAGUUGUGGGUUCGAGCCUCAUGCUGGGUA
rnacentral:tRNA from 1 species